rnacentral:rRNA from 1 species
CAAACGACUCUCGGCAACGGAUAUCUCGGCUCACGCAUCGAUGAAGAACGUAGCAAAAUGCGAUACUUGGUGUGAAUUGCAGAAUCCCGUGAACCAUCGAGUUUUUGAACGCAAGUUGCGCCCGAAGCCUUUUGGCCGAGGGCACGUCUGCCUGG